UGGACCUAAUAAAACAAAACAAUAGGAUAGAACAUCUAGUUUUAUCUCUAAUGACCAACUUAGUAUUCUACUGAAAAUAAACAACUUUGAUUGUAAGAACUAGAUAGAUACAUUUAUCCAAAUGGUUUCAGGUUUAUGCGUAGCAAAGCUUAGAGCUUUCAGAAACUAACUACUUUCAUAACAAUGCAGCUCUAUUUUAAAUUAAGCAAAUAUCAAAGCCCAGAGGGAAAUUACUGAUCUUGUUCUUGAAACGUCUUUUCUUUUAACGUCUUUUCUUUUGCUGUUCGUUAAAUUAAUUUUCACGUUUGAUGUUGUAAGAAAUAAAUUAUAGAUCAGCUCUGAAUCUUUAUUAAAAAAAACCCCUCAAACCUUGAAGCUAAGCAGGUGUUUUUUAAAAAUGUGAUAGAGGCGAUCGCCUGCACAGUGAACUGAUCACUUCAACAACGACUCGCAAGCUGUGCAGCAUCAAAUCACGUGGUUGUUGCUCAACUCUAGGUGGGAAAACGCAAUCGUCACCCGACUUCUUCAUUAGAGCUGUGUGAGAUUCGGUUGCUCUCAUUGUGAAGAGAGACACCAGUUGCUGCUCUGCUGUACAUCUAGCUUUAUAAAGGAAAUAUGCUUUUUCCUCAAAAUUCAAACAUUAGCUUAGCCUGAAAUAGCUUUAGAUAAAACAAGGGCUUGUUGUCAAUGGGAACAUUGGGAGCUAAUUUCACAAACAUAACAAUAAGAAGUCACUAAAAAUGUAGGUGGCUUGUUGAAGCAGCUUGUUGCUUUCACAUUUCAAAGCAACAAAAAGUUGCAACAUUUUUUUUUAUUUUGAGGGUGCAUUCACACCUGUUUAGUCCACUUUAAUCGAAUUCUAGUUUGUUUGCCGGGUUCGUUUGGGGAGGUGCGCCAUCAAACUCUGAUAACCAAAAAACCGAGGUCUCCAUACAGUUGAAGGGAACUCCAGCAAGGUUCGAAUCCAUAUGUGAACACCAAGCAAACCAGAGAUCGCUCCAACAACAGGAAGAGGACUACAUUGCAGGGCAUUCUGGGUAAAUACAGCCAAAACAAACUUGUAUAUAUGGCGCUAGCGAGAGAAAUGGCUUGUGGUCUUUUAGACCAGAAAAGAAAGUCUACAUCCGCUUCCAUUUGACGCUACUCCAUUUUUGUUUAGAGCUACACUGUAGCCACAGGUGCUCUGGGGCAGAUUGACAGAAGUCUGCCGCAGGGCAGAAUCAAUCGACCCCACCAGAACCUCUGACCACCACCAGCAAGCAAAGCAGGUCAAGUGUCGUCCCAACAACACAACCGCAAACAACAACUUCUAUUUUCUGAACCACUGUUGUCUCGGUUGGAAAAUGUCGGGCGUGCAAACUUCAGCAUUCUUAAAAGGGUAAAUGUCAACGAAUGCCUUGCAGCAACAACAUUUCAUCGCCAAGACUCCACAUCAAAGCAGUGCUGCUGUAAAAGGCUACAAGUAAUGCUUCGUUAAUAAUUCCACUUGAUUUCUUUUGGAUUCUGGAGCUCAAGAUCAAAAGUGGGUUUUACUUUGUUUGCAUCUGACAGGAGAGGAAAUCCCCAUUCUCAUCAUAUCUCCGCCUUAAAUGACAGGCGGGGUGCGGAUGGCCAAUCCCCUCUCGACUUUGUUGUUUUAUUUAUUUGAAAUUAUGGCUCAUAACAACUAGGAGGCAUCACUAAAGAACAAUUAGUUACUUAAUAAAACGUAAACAGCAUACAUGCUGAUUGGAAACCAUCAUUUGAUGGUUGAUAAUGGAGCCUUAGGCUACACGUCAUUUUUAAAGUGAGGUUGAGUUUGAAAUAGUCAGCGUUUUAGGACAACUGGCGGUAGGAAAGAAACAAACACAGGAUGAUUACGUAAAUUACCCGGAGCAGCCGGAGCUGAGAGGCAGCGAUGCUAACCGCCAUCCCACCCGUCUCGUACGUACAUUACAUUUUCAUUGGUUUUUCUCCCUCUUAUUCCCAACGAGGGCAGACACAGUCACGACUCAGAGCCACAGGGCAAAUCAAAAGCUAAAUCCAACUGAGAAAAUGAAAAAGCCAAACAUAUUUUGUCUCUAGUUGUGUAUCACCCAAAAAAGCCUUGCAGCUAAACGACGGCAAAAGUAUCGACUUCACACACCUGCUGCACUUUGUGUUUUGUCUAUCACCUACAAUUGCAAUAAAAUACAGAAAGCACCUUUACUUAAGCUCUAAUCCACAUUCUAACACAAUGUUACAAUACUCCAGGUUCAUGUUUGGCAAUCAUGUAGCAUUGAUUAAAAACCUAAUGAUGUAGCUGCAUGAAAUGAAGCCAUGUUGGAAUAUCUUAGAGCAGGGGUGUCAAACUCCAGUCCUCGAGGGCCGCUGUCCUGCAACUUUUAGAUGUGCCA